rnacentral:tRNA from 1 species
GCCGCAGUGGUGGAAUCGGUAGACACAGGAGACUUAAAAUCUCCCGGCCCCAGGCUGUACCAGUUCAAUUCUGGUCUGCGGUA